UGUUGUGAGAGAUAUCUCAAGUGCAUCUAUUCAAGCAGACAAUACUUAUUGGAAGAAUGUUGAUCAAACUGCAUACACUAGCGAGGCUGGGUUAGGAGGAUAGACUGUGUAGGCUAAGCAGGGUGCCUAAGCAAGCCUCUAUUGGCAAGCUAAUCUUCUCCUCUAGUAUCACUUCUUCAUACACCUCAGCCAUACAUCUUCAUCCCCCAUUAGUAAAUAUAUACCCCAUAUGCCUCAAAGAUGAGUAAUCGUAGAUAUUAGUAGA
rnacentral:lncRNA from 1 species